CCAUGAAAAUCUGCAUGCAAAUGCAUAAUAAUCACAAAUCUACAUUAUUACAAUAUUAAAAAAUACCUACAAUUAAAUUAUCAUGUGGAAAUAAUCAUAAUGUUAUUGGAAACUCAAUUAUUGUGGCAACCCUUGUCAAGGAAUUAGCAGGCUAUGGCAAAGGCAAGUCAGACCUGAAUUCAUCAAAUAUAUAUUAUCACAAUAUUACAUGUUCACUUCGAUUCCAUGCAAAGACAAACAUCCUCACUCACUAGUAUCUGCUCAAUGCAUUUGUAUUAUUCAUGAACAACUCUGUGAUCUAUUAUACAUACAAAACUGAUUGUACGCUGCUUGCCGGAGGCUACAAUGCAGAGACACAGAAUUAAUUUUAUUAUAUACACAUGCAUGAUAAUUGUGUAGAAUUCAGUCAAAUAUCAAACUCUGCUCCUGUGCUCCAUUAUUUUACUUUCCAAAAAGAGGUCUAAGGUCAGCAGCAAUUUCUCUUUGGCGACAGUGAAACUCUUUGUCAUUUAGAGUAGAAAGUUCCUGGGUACUAAUGAGCCUGGAGCUGUGAUGAAUGGUCACACAUUCCCUUUCCUCUCCAACCUCCACUAAUCAAAGGGAGACUGUAACUUUUAUUGAGAUUCUCAAGAAUUCCUUGCCUCUUUGCACACAGAAUUCACUUUGGGCUGCUGACUUAGAUACUUCAUUUGUCAGAGAUGAAGGCAACACUUAUGGCUUCAGAAACUUGACUACAAUUUUCUGAGAAGAUGAUCAGUACAACUUGAAAAACUUGUUUUCAGAUAGAUUUUUAUUUCUGUAAGAGCUACUGUUAUUUCAGUAAACUCUUAGAAAUGCUUUCAUAGGGCCAUUUUUCCUGUGAUAUGUUUUCACUAAGAACAAGCAACAACUACCUGUCCCUUUCUUCAACAGGGCAAGGAACAUACGGUAUGAUCCUUACCUGCUUCCAGAUCUUUUGCCAGAAAAAUAAAGAUGAGUACCAUCCAAAAAAAUUAUGGUUGUUUUGAGAUAUUGGGAGUGAGACAUAUCAAUCUCCAAAGGAGCAUUCAACAAGCUGCACUACAUCAAAGUACUGGGCUGCAUUCUAACAUGACUGAAAGGUUGACUUCAACAUGUUUCUGAUUAGGUAAAUGCCAGACCAACUGGGACAAAUGGCAUACGUGUGAAUCUCAGCAACACUAAGUAUCAAACCCUGAAUUUUAUUUAUUUAUUUUUAAUUUCCAUUCACUCUCAUUAUCCAUCCAAUAUCUGAACUUUUGGCUAUCAUACUCAUCUGAGUUUUAGGGUUGAAAAAAAUUUACUCCUUGCCCAGCACAUUCAGAGUAGAGUUCCAUUCAAGCAUAUUUGACAUUCACUCUUGCAUUACUGCAUUGCUUUCAAGAGUCAUGAGCAGAAUGUGUGCUUCACAGCAUUUAUAUUCUAGUUUCACAGAAUUCAGAGAUAAACUGUAGCAAGUACUCUCUAGAAUUUCUCUAAGUCUACUCAUCUGUCAGGAGUAAACAUCCUCAUCUUUAAAUCUUUCAUAUAUUUAUGUCAUGACCAGAAUCCAUCAUUUCAUAUAGCUAAGAACAACAUAGGAUGAUCUGGAUUUAGUAUUGCAUAGCUCACAAGCCUGCCCUCAAAAUUUACUAUAAGUGGGUAAAGCCAGCAUUGUUCUAAUUAAGCAAUGUGAAAGACAUAAAAUCUCAGAAAAGAAAUGAGCUAACCCCUCACAUAGUAUGAUGUUCCAUCACAACAAAUAAUGAAUAAACAAAAUUGGUCUUCUUAUCUUGGCUGGCUCAUGGUAAUCAACAACAGAAGUAGCAAAAAGCACAGCUCUGACAAGUCUCCAGGGCAGCACCUAAAAUGCCAGAGGCAUGGAAGAAAAGACCUUGCAUUGAAAACCAACUCAGUAACGCAUUUUGUCAUUAAUUGCUUAUAAAAGAUAAAGUUCUUAAAAAUAUCUGUUUUUCGGUAGGCAUAUGCUACAACUUCCUCAGUAAUAGUAGUGACUCUGAGGUGCCAGUAUCUUUUGAACAUCUUUUUCUUCCAUGGUAAAUCCACUUAUUUCCUGCCAUAUCAGGCUAGCUAGGCAAUUAGGUGAGCAGUGGGACCUCAAGGCUCGGACAGUGCAAUUUCACUUCAGCCUUCGCUGUGGAAGUAGUUAACAAGAUAUUGGCUCAAAGAGAUUUUCCUAGAUUGUUAGCUUGACAUGAUCAGGCAGGCAGUAAUAUAAUGGGGAGAAAGACCCUACUGGAAUUGAUUAAUUUGUCACCAUUACCCAAGACCUGACAGUUUUUUCAUACAUAUAUGAAGUGUCAGUGGUUCCAGCUUAUUUCUCUGAUUAGAACUAAACUCAUGUAGUUUGGGUUCAGAAAGAAAUACAAAGUUUAAGAAAUUUAGUUUAACCUCAUCCAAACCACCAAGCCUCUUAACCAUACAAAGAGAUGAAAAUAGUUGAGAAGAUGCAUUUUUAUUAAAACUGAGAUUGUUGCUUUGUCUGGUGCACAACAAAAUACCUCCAUGGGUUACUCAGCAUUUUCCUGCUUGUCCUCAGCUGCUGACAUACACAGGAGAAAAGCAUUGCUGUUAAACCACAUUUUCCAAGCUUGUAAAAUAUCCUUAUUUUAAAAAUCUUGUAGCUUUUAAUUGGUUCGGCCAACCACAAUUAUUAGAAGCCACACUAGAACAACCAGGUAACCAGCAAACUCUUCUAAAGACAAGUGUUCUUGUUAUUUCUUCAGUUAACAUUUAUUUUGCAUGUAUCCAUAAAAUCACUACAUGGAAAGACUGUGCAUACACAGAACAAGUAUUGGCUUUAUUUUCUUGCCAGGCAGCAUUGCUCAAGCACAGACCUCUUGACAUUUAAUAUUCAUAGUGCAGAAGCAUCUACUGAUUCCAAUAAGAAACAAGAAACAUUGCGAGAGAUGUCAUACAAAAAAAAAGUCACAGUUCUGCCACAAAGUACUUUCAGUUAUACAGGUUGACAAAUCAACUAUUGCCACACUGUGUACAGUGUAAGAAAUAUUUUUCAGUGAUUUUCUAGUCACCUUUAAAAAGAAUUGACACUAUAGGUAGCUCUAUAUAGUAAUGCAUAGGACAUUACUUCAGCAGUUACUGAGGAAAAAUAGCUACAUCACCUUACCUUUGUGCACAUGUAUUUUAUGUCAGCAGAAAAUUCAACAUGACAGUAUUCGCAAAGCUGAAUCUUAUUCAGAAGACAAAAAAUAAAAUUAGGCUAAAAUGAUGUACAAAGAAGAAUUAACAAUUUUUUUUUUUAAUUUUCAUCUUAAUGGAAACAGUUUGACAUUUAAUUUCAGAAUUGAGUAAUUUUGCAUUUAUUUAUUUUUGAGAGAUGCACCCCUUUUCCAAUAUUUCCUUCCCAAAGAGACAAUCUAAUAAUGGUCUGCUUGUGUCUGUGUUAACAGAACUUUAACUCUUAAUGAAUAGGAGAAAAAAAAAAAAAGUGGUUUUUUUUUUAGGUUUUGUUAAUAACAAUAUAAUUAUAUAUAAUAUAUAUUAUAUAUAGAGAGAGUAAUUAAAAAAAAUCAAAUCUUUGCAUAGUCCUCUUAGCCAUGAUUGUUCUUCCUUUCUAGGAGGCAUAUUAAGAUAGAACAGAUUACUUUUGAGGUGAGUUUAGUGUUCUUUGGUAAACGCGCAUUACUGGCUAUGAACAGCUUUCCCAAGGCUGAACAAAGCUGGGUGAGAUCCGGGCAUAGGAGUAGUGUCCUCCAGUCACAUAGAUCCCCAGCUCUAUCUUCGGCAGCCCACUGACAGCUGCCGGCAACCCAAAUCCCCCAUAUGAGACAGUACAGGAUGCUCCUUCAAAUAUCUCCUUGAUGCCAAGAAUGUUUCUAUGGUAAUUCUGCAUACAAAAUUACAGGCUCGUGCUGUGUAAGAGGCUGUGCAAGGGCCCAAGGAGAUGAAUAAGCCUAUCUAAGGUUGUGCAUACCCAGGGGGCUUCCAUUAUUUUGGGUGCAAGGAAAUACAAAGAUGGAAUAAUAACAAUGUUGUGCUGCACUUCAAUUGUUAAAUUACUUCAAUACCUUGCUCACAGAUGUGCUCAUGUGAAUCUAAUCAAGCAACUCCUCUAAGACAGCAAAGAUUAUUUUGAGAGAUUAUUCCUGUUUUUACUACAGAAAAAGAAGUGCCAGCCUUUUAGGAUCAUUUGUACAUAAGUGCAUGUGUGUGCACACAAACACAGACAUCUUCCCUCUAUGAGCACACGAAAAAGCCAAGGCAAAAAAAUUCCCACAUACAGAACACUACUCUGAGAAAGAUAGGACUUCUAGUAACAGAUUUGCAUUUUCAUGCAAAAAAAAGAAAAAAAAAAAAACCAAAACCAAAUAAAUCCAUGCCAAAAACUUGUCUGAUUGCUUAUCUACUUACACAUUUGUAACAAAGAACAACAGGGCAAAAGAAAAGGUGGCAUCAUCAGAAAUGGGUACCUGAAGAAAAAAGAAAAGAAAAAAAGAUUUUUCUAUGCCACUCUAAGUCCCAGAAAGGGGAGCCUUUCAAUAUCUUCUCAAAUAAUUUUUGCUUCAGACUCUAAGACAGCACAUUCAACAAUUCAAUUUGCUGUUCGAUAAUAGGGACCCAGACUGGCUUUUUAAUGCAUAAAAAGAAGUUGCAUCUUUUUUCUUUAUUUUUCUGUAUGUUUGUUUGUUGCUUACUGACAUCAGAUUUCCUGCAGGCAUCCUAACCUAGCAAUUGAAGAAAUUGCUCUAGGGUUUUCCAGGCAUAUAAUACACCUGGAUAAAAAGUGCUAAUUGUCACCAACUUCCAUUAAAUGACAGCAGUAAGGCACAAAAUGUGCUUGAUUUGCAGACGCUAGUGCCACUGGGAGUUAGCAGCAGAUUAAUAAUUGUGCAGACCUCAAACAUUCCCCUGGCACUGACAGUCUGGGCUUCCAACACAAUGCCAGAUUAUGAGGCCUUUGCUUUUAGCUUGCCUUCCUAAUAGGGCUCAGGCAAUUGCAAGGUUCCUCUGUACGUGUGUUUGACUGUUUGACCUUCCAGAAAGACUUCUGGUCAAUAUGAAUACAAUUUUUUGUGGGAGGGUAGAGGUCACAAACAGGCAAUAGCCUAAGCGGUUUUCUGAAAAGCAGGCAGCUGGGUGGACAUCAUCAAGCCUGAGUUUAAGUGCUCCUAAUAUCCUGACUUGCUAGGUUCUUGAAGAGAACUGAACCCUAAUUCUGUUCAUUCUAUUAGCACUAAGUCACAUGAUGAUCACAUCAGACUAUGUUCUCAGGUUUUUUCCAUCUUUUUUUUUUUUUUUUUUUCAAUUUCAUGUCAUACACAAGCUUGAAGCCUUGAGUGCACAUCAAGCAUUACGGUAUUGCACAGAUAUAAUCUUAUUCCAGCUCCCUGCAGACAAAUUCAGGGGCCAACGCUUUGCCUUCCUCUUUCUUCUCGCUCUGCUGUUUCCAUUUCCUCUUUGCUCUCGGCACACGUGGGCACAUUCUCUUGGCUUGGAAGAAACCAUCUCAUGGCAUGCAAGCUUGCUGACGGCUCCAGUGGCAUUACAAAGCUCAUUUCUGCAUGCAGCAACAUGAUUAUGGAGAAGGAGAGGGCAAGGUUGAACGAAUGUGCUUUAACACUUCUUUCUUGGUAUUUAUGACUAUGCCAUAGCAUUCCUGUAACCUGGCCUGCUGCUGCUCCAGCUGCUUGUGCAAGCUCCUGAUCGAACGCAACAGCAGGAGUCUUCGGUACAUUGCUAGCUGGAGCCGAUACUUCUCCUUUUCCUCCUUUUUCUUAUUUUCUAGGGUCUCCAUUACUGUUGUGGUCUUCAUCCAGAUGGCUGAGCCCAGACUGCAAGGGUUGCCCUCAGUGCAGCUCUCCACAGGCCGUGCGCUAUCAGCUGGCACAUGGCAGCACCUGAGGUUGUUCACCAACAGGGCCACGACUGCCCUGGGGGGCUUACCAGCCCCGUCAGGCAUCCCAGGGACACAUGAUGCUUCUGAAUCCUGGUCACAGCUACAGUAGACACUUUCAGAGCACGGUGAGGCAAGGCCCCUGGGCUUGGGUUUACAGAUUGUUGUAGAGCAGGACAAGUCUCCUGCUGAUGCACUGACAGCCAUCAGGUGGUGCUUGGCCAAGGCAGAUGCCUUGCUCUGUGCCUGGCUGCCACUGAUGACCGCUGAUGGUCCAGCAAGUGCUUUUGCUUGGGCCACAGCCUUGCUAGAGAGGACAGACAGUCUUUCUGGCACCUCUGAGCUUCUGUUGCCUUCACUAAGGCCAGCAUAGCAAUCAGGCAAUGCUGUUUCAGCAUCAUGAAAUGGGUCUUCAUCAGAGUUUUUCUGGGUCUCCUCUUCAUCUCUUAUUACUGCACAUGUUUCCUCAGCCAUUUAUUGCACGAAAUACAGAAACUUUCUGUGGACAAAGUGGAAGCAAGAGGAUUUCAUUUCCACAUACACACAGGCACACAUACAGCAGACCUACGCAGAGUGACAUUUGAAGUAAGAACCUCUCCUUGUAUUUAACCAAUGGACCUAUUAAUUUUCUAAUAAAGCACAACCCUUGGGUCACUUCAGGCCAUUUUUUGUGAUUUGCAUUGGAUGUUCUUCGAGACACAACAUUCAUCCAAUAAUAAUUAAAAUGAUAUACUGUACUAUUAACAUUCUCAAAUCUUUAAAGCAAAGUGAUCUAUCCCUGCAGCACUGGCUUUGCUGACUAAUUAAACAGAAUACAGUUGUAAAUGGCUAUUGUAAGCACUUCUCCCAUUUAAGAACACAGCUCUAGCAAGUGUAGUUCAUAGAGAUGGGUGAGUUAUCAGGAUUGAUCUGCCCUAAAGAGGUGGAUGUACCACAAACAGCAGGUUUCAUUUAAAUGCCCUCUCUGAGAUUAAUCUGUCUGCUAGCAGUUUGUUUACAAGGUUGCCUUUUCCCCUCCUACCAACUCUAUCAGCAGAGCAAUAAUAGUACUAUGCUAGUCAUAGACAGGAAAAAAAGAAUACUUACCGAGGUUAGUGGGGGAAAGAAAAAGAGUUACAGUGCAUUGUGUCUGCGCAUCAUGUUUUCCUGAAUAUGAGUCAGCAAAAACUGGAACAGAAACAUCACUGUGAAGAAGCAGGAGCAGCAACAGCAUUACUCUAUUCCACCCAGCAACAACACAGUGAAUCCCAAUCACUGAGAAGUGAAGGGCUGACUUCACCCCCUCCUCCCCCCCCAUCCCUUCCUUAUUAAGAGGAUAUUCCUCCCUAGUAUUGAGCUUUGAUGUCAUCUUUGAGCAUCAAAAUGAAAACCGGGAUUGGAUGACAUUAUUUUUUACCACAGAUCCAAACAUCCCUGAUUCACUCAAUAUAUGGGGAUGAUACAAAUGGCUCAUCCUACCUCUGUCAAACAGCAAGGAGCAAAUACAGCUCCCAGAAGAGUGGAGGGCAUUCUGGACUCCAAUGCAUACGUGCUCUUCUUCAGAGAAAACAAACUUAGAUAAACUUUAGAUGCAUAAACCCAAGAUGAAACAAGCUUUUGGCACCAACUGAAUGCUGAGCAUAAAGGCAGCCAGAAGGUGUAGAUUUAAAUGUCUAAUAUACACUUAUAUUUAAUUAUGCUGACCUAAUCUUUCAGGGAAAAAAGAAAAAAAAAACAACAACUCUGCAACCAACUUAAAUAUCCAAUAAAAUAGUAAACUUCAUCUGCACCUUUGAUGUUUAGAAAAGCUACCUUCAGCAUCUUCUCCCACUUGUAAUGCCAGGAACAAAAUUCAAAAAAUAUCUAUCUGCAACUACUUUUGAGAAUCUGCCACAGGGCUUACACUGCCCUGAGGCUUUCUCUACUUUAUUCUCUUAAUAUGAAUAAAAGAAAGAACCAACCCAAAAUACUACCUAGAAUCUUCCUGGAGAUGGGAAAGAAUAAGGGUAGAUUCUAUCUCCACUUCUAUAUACAAUAGAACACAGAUAAUUAUUAUUUUUUUUUAAAUGUUUCAUCUGACUAUCUCUCUCUCUAAUUAAUCUGUUAAAUGAGAUAUAAUUCCAAGGUGGAACAUCUGAACUCCAGCUAACAAGUUCAGAUUUACACCCCAAAGUCUACUUGAACACUGUUUUCUUAUGUGUUCUAAAAAAUAUUGUACACUGAAUCGGUGAAAUAACUAAUUCUGCCGCGUUUAUGUGCCAAAUCAUGCUGCAGACUGUAUAAUUUAGACUAUGAAGAGAUUAAUAUGCUGUGAGUAAAUAAACUUUGCAAGGUUGUAUCUUAUUAAUUUCCAUUUGUCUGAAUCAGAAGUUAGGGUAAUUGGCAAGCAUAGAACUCAGAUACCAGGAAUUUUACUCCAAGAAUGAUCAUUAGAAUACAACAUUGUGCAUAAUCCUAGUUUUGGUUGUUCUCUCUCCAAAGCACCGCAGGUAUACCUUGCCAUAUAAUCAUAGGCUCCAUAGAGUUGGACUAGAUGACCUUUAAAGGUCCCUUCCAACUCCCCUGCUAUGAACAGGGACCCCUACAGCUAGAUCAGGUCGCUCAGAGUCUGGUCCAGCGGGGCCUUGAACGUCUCCAGGAACGGAGCAUCCAACACGUCUCUGGGCAACCUGUCGCCCUGCCUUCCAAUUACAAAGAGGACAGUGGAUGGGUGUUGUAAGGUAAUACAUGGUCUCAAGCUAUGCCAACACGUUUCUACCAGUCAGUCAUAAUAUUCUGUUCUCCACUUCUAAAUUUGCAGCAAUUUGCUACAAAAUGAACAUUUUCUAGUAGUCCAACAGAACAUUAGAUAAGAGGAUAUAUAUUUUUCUAAUAUUAAAUCUCUCUGGAGCUUCAUUUUUUUCAGCAAAUUUUUACAGGCAGCAUUUUUCUUUGAAGGGAAGGAGUUUAAAAAGCCAUUUUGCAUAGCAAAUUUUUUAAUAAAAAAUAAUAUUAAUUUUUUAUAGAUGUAGACCUAGAUGGAAUAAGUGACAUUUGAUACAAUCACCUAAAUAAAACUACAAACAAAAUCAAAACUCAUUGAGCUAGAUGGUUCUUUACAGAAUGUGACUACUUCAGUGGUGACCUAUGAAAUUCAACAUAAAAAAAAAAAAAUCAGCCAAUUGGGCUUAGAGCUUUAGCACAAAAAAAAUACAGUAAGAUACAGAGUGAUACUGAAAUGGAUUAAGAUGUAUCACCUAUAGGCAAGUGUGCAUGCAUAUUUCCCUUUUAUUCUGUUUUUCUUUAUUCAUAGUUUCCCAAAAUUUCAUCUAGUACAUCAGAUUGAAUUUUUCUAGGUUCAGCUGGUGCCUGAAGGUGAAUGUCUAUUGAACACUUCAGACAAGGAUUGAGAUACUUAAAUUGGAAAGCGGGAACAAAAGUAUGGGCUUUCCAAGAAAACAGAGAGAUCAAUAGAUACCUUUCAGGAGAAUUGCAUUCUGUAUUUAUAGCGAGGGUAUAAGGAAGAAGAACACAGUCUAUUUCAAAUGGAAACACGUAAAUUCUUGUUCCAAGACAACAAUCCUACUUUCCCAAGAUUGGACAAAAUAACUCCUAUUGGCUCUCUUUUAUUUACAAAUCAACAGGUUAACAAAGAGACAAGAAAAGACCUUAUAGAAGCUACUUCUGUGAGAGGCACAUUGUGCUAUUUCACUUCAUGAAGAAAGUGUUGGAAGAGUUUGCUGCUCCAACUGAGAGUCUGUUGCAGGCUUUAUUGAAUGCCUGUUGCUCACUUUGGACCUCCUUUCUUAGGUUAAAUCUGUGUGAAGCUUUCCAGGCAGAAGCUGCUUCAAAUUUCACAGUGAAUUCAUCUGUCAGUCCAAUACAAUGAACAUUUCAGGUAUUCAGAAUGAAAGCAAGAGCGCUUCCAGUUGAGGGUCACUGCUUUUUAUUACUACCCAUUCACAGGUAGAUGCGACCACGUUAGUUUCAAGGUGUAGACUCUACUUAUUUACCUCUAAGCUUACCAGCCAUGUACAUCCUUGCAAGGUCUGUGCCAACAGUGUUUUUUUAAAUUCAUCGCCUCCAUCAGGUAUUAGCUGUGAUAGGUACUUGGUAACCAGCAGUCUCAGAACCAUAAAUGUGUUCUUAAGUGUUCCAUGGUUGCAUGUUUGUGUGAUUGGGGUGCAUGUUAACACAUCACACAAGGACACGAAAGGGUCAGAAGAGAAUUCCUGCAGAGUCACAACAGUUAACUCUCACCUUCCACUGUAAGGCCACUCAACGGCUUGGACAGAUGUGAGGACAGGAAGUCUUGUUUUUUAUUAAAUACAAAUGUUUUACUGAAGUUCAAAGCCUAACAUUCAAACACACAAGCAGCAUCAGAAAGUGACAAGUGUUGGUGGAGACAUGCCUUUACAAGACUUUGGCCUGGGAUGUUACGUUGUUUUGUAUUUGGGUUUGGGGAGUACUUUUAACAAAGUAGUAAAAAAUAUCCUAUUACACAGUAGUGUAAUUCCAUAUUUUAUAUUAAUUGCUCUUAAAGAUCAAAAGCUAUAUUCUGUCUGUUAAUGUACACACUCGCAUGGUCUCCUAUGAAAUCAAUGAGAUCCACAUGUGUGCAUCUGAGACCUAAAUUUCUCCCCAAAGAUUCUUUAAAAUCCUUUUACAGAGCAGUAAGUCAUAGAAGAAAGUCAUGUGUUCCCUUUCUUCUGCCUCUAUACCCAAGCCAGACAUGAAUUAUUACUGCUGCUCCGAAUUACACUGGAUGAUAACGGUACCCAGAGGGGUCACUGGCCAGCCAGAGAUUACCAUUGCUCAGCAUGUUCUGUUCUCACCUUCAUACAUUCCUCAUCAAUUCUGCAGUCCUCUUACACCAGCAAAGAAAUGCAAAAUAAAUGCAGCCCAGCUUCACACUAAGUCUACUGAGGAGACUGGAAUGUGCUAUAGGUAUUUAAGUGGCAGGCUGAAGCAUGGUGGGAUACCACAAUGGCUUUCUAUGGCCUGGCAGAACAAAAUUUGGUAUAUGCACACAGCUGCAAUGUAAUCACAUUUGCAGAUAACUGGAAAGAUUUUAGACAGAAAGUUAAGUAGAUAUGUAAUUUUACUUGUGGGAAAAAGUUCAGUGUCUUCAAAAAUGAACAUACAGGAAUCCAGUCAACCAUCUUUAUAUUAAGUAUAAAAAAACCCACUGAAACAGUCUGCCAUGAUUGGCAAAAAUUAGCAAGACUGCUGUCAGUUUUAGCAGAAUUGCCUAUGAGAGAUGCAAAUCUCUGAAAGAGUAGCUCAGGCUAAGUCUGAGUUGAGUUUACAAGCUUGAAAAUCUUGUGACAGCAGGUACCAAAACAGCUUGAACACUAGGAAGGGCUUGAUGACAACUUUCACCACAGUAUUUCAGCAACUCAACUUCUAACCCUGCUUGAGCCCAAAUAUUCUCAGGGACAUACAAUGAAAAAUAUACUGAUAUGGCUUCAUGAAGAUAUCCUAACAGCAAAAUGCUUUGACUUUCGAGGCAGCAGCUGUUCUCCCUAUCAUCUAUAUGGAGAACAUUAGCCUGUGAUUUGAAUUCAUUUUAACUAAGAAUAAUGCUGUCCUUGCCUAAACCAGUACACAGUACACAACCCACCAUCUGAUCCAUGGAGCCAUGUUGGUACACUGAAACAGUCACCAAGAAGUUUCUAAAGUCUUGUGAGCUCAGGCAUCUACUUCAGCUGCAACAGCAGGCGCUUAGCUCUGCACAGAGGCUGAAGUGGAACUGGAAGAUCAAUGGGCAUAUGUAGCUGGGGUCAUGCUUGAUUCAGUGUAUGUCAAUUCACUGACUGAAGGAGGGUGACUUAUUUCAAUACAAAGAGUAAGUUAAGAAUGUUCCAUAACAGAAAGAAAAGGAGGAAGUAUUAGAUAUUCAGGGCAUUUGCAGCACAUGCUCUGUGAGGUAACAGAUGAAAAGAGAAAGCUUUAUAUUGAAUUCAAAGAAACAUGAAUCUUGAGAACAACCAAUUUACCCGUUGUUUUUUUUUUUUCCUCCAAUGAAAAGAAUGGCUGUCUAUAAUCCAUUACAAUUGUACCAAAAAGAAAAAUAUGAUUAUAAGCUGAAAAAAGGCUAGAUUGCAAAUAACAGCUUCCUUCGGAUAUUAGAGUGAAAAAAAUCCCAAACAUCAGUGAAAGUUUGAUUAUUUUUUCCAAGAAUAAAGAAAAGAUUAAGUUUAAUGGUAUCAAAAUUAAAGGUGAACUUCAAUGGUUCUCCAAUGGAGAAAAUAUCUUAAUUUGGAGGGAUGCCUACCAUUUUGUUCAGCAAUCAAGAAAAUGUGGAAGAGAAUGGGGAGAGAAAAAAAAAGAAAAAACUAAGCAGAAAGAUCAGGUAACUGACAUGCUACUAUAGUCUUCGUAUGGAGAAGAGAGACUAAAAAAAUCUUCCUGCAAAAAAAAAAAAAAGGUACUUGAAAUAUAUUUGAAUAACCUCCAGUAUUAAAAGAUUCAUAAGUAUUGCUCAUAAAUUGUUAGAACUCCAUGCCUAGCAGGUAAACAGUGGAUUACUCAACAUAGCCGUUAGAUUUCAGAUGUGAAAAUGAAAGUAUGGACUCACGUGUCUAGUUAAGGUUCACGUUUUGUAUGCAUUGAGGGAAAAAUCCUUUUUGUUGAGGAAUAUGUAAACAGAGCAUGUAAUUUUUGAUAACUGAUGUUUAUGUUUACUUUCUUUUUGACAUUUAAGUAUAACUGACAUACUGAUGGCUAAGGAAAGAAGACAACUAAGCUGGAAGAAUAAUAAACAGAGCGCUGUGAGAGAUGGAAGAGAAGAAAAACAUGGUGGGAAGAACUGAGGCAGUGAGGCUAAGUUGCAAAUGAGCAGACAAGUAAUAGCUUGGUGUUUCACCACAAUAUCAAAUGAACUUUCAGAACUUUUCAGAAGUCAAAUGCAUUUAAAAUAAUUAACGAGUUUGCUUUAAAAAGCAUAUGCAUCUUCUCUCUUGUCUGUUAAGCCAGAAUGAUACAAGGAGAGAUUGUGAAGAAAAUUAUAUCUACAGGCAUUGUUUUUUGUUAUUGUUGUUAAAAAUAUUUCCACAUUAAGUGGCAAAAGAAAAAGAAAGAAAAAAAUGUAUUCAUGUUCUUUGAGCCUAACAAUUUCUGUGAAUCUUAAGAUCACUCUUGAGGACCCAACUCUACAGAUCAUCAUCAAGAGGCAAAAAUAAUGAGUCAAAUGAGAGAAAGAUCUGCAGCUCUCUUUUGUAUAUAGUUGCUGUACAUAUACCAACAUGGAAGAAGCCUUCCACAGACUUCUGUCAUCACUCUGUGUGAAAAAGCUCUUUUAAAGGAACAGCUACCAAUAGGCAAGUGAGCCAGAAUACUUUUGUGCAGGAAUGUGCGUUUCUCACAUAGCUCAGGCUACCAAAAGGAAUACAAAUAUUUGCAGGAGUAGAAAAAGAUGCAGAAAGGACAGUGAAUCCUCUCACUGCUGAAACACCCUAAGUAGAAGCAGUGGAGACUCCAAGGAGAAGAAGAGUCUGGAGAAAUCAGCAACUUAAGAGUAACAGUGAAUGAGAAGAAGAGACUGGGAGAGGGAAGAAAAAGGCCUCUGGAUUUCCACCAGAAUUAAACUGGAGAAAUGGGAGCAGGAGGGGCACAGGAGAAGCAGGUUAAAGAGAUUUUGCUCCUAUCUUCGUCAGCAAAGAGGGAGUAGGAAACAAGACCCGGACAGCAUUUCUCCCAAGUCUGCUGCUCUAGGCAACUGUUUACUUUGCUUUUGCCCAAGAUAGCGUGAGACGUUAUAAAAUGAGUUUCCACAAUGCUCUGAGUCACCAGAAUAUGGAUGAGAUCUGUGGAUUCAAGCCACCUUUCAAGAUUAUGAAUCUCUUCUGAAUAUCCAUUAUGCCAAUGAUACAUAACAAAAUCACUGCUGUAAUGUGAUGCACAUGUCAACUUUAAGGAUACAGUCCCUGCUCAGAUGGCAUCAGCAUAGGGAAACGUCAGCAUGGUGGAUUACCAGAGCAAAUGCUUUAACAUGCAAUGUGAUGCAAUGUGUUUUAACAACAAUUGUUCCCUUAUGUUUGUUUGUGUCAGGUUUGACGUGACUAUCCGCCAGGACAAUGCUCAGGAUUCUGUGUGUUGCAUUGCAGAAACUGAUUAUGUGAUCAAAUGCUUAAAGCACAUAAAAUCACGCCCAAGAUUCGAUGAGAUAUAUAUGCCAGAAAAUUCAGUAGGUGCUUAAAGUAAUUGACGCUAACAGCUAGACCUGGGUUUUUCAAAGGAAUAAGCGUUUUUGUUUGUUUGUUUUUCCUAAUGCAAUAUAAUAUAAACUGCCUAGAAAUUCAGCCUUAGCAUAAUGUUCAGAUCAAAUGAAAUUCACCCGUUAAGAAAGAACAUACACAGGGUCCUCCCUGAAGUGGAAAAGACAGCCUCUGAGUAGAACAGAUACCCUGGGAGACUUCUUACCCUGUGCACAUGCCCAAAAAGACAGCUCUGAAUCUAACUGCAUUGUAGAUCUAAUGCUUGUAGGAUUUGGAGGCUCAACGCUGAGCUGUAGCUCUCAGCAGCCCUUUUUCCCCAGUCCGUGAAACUCAGAAUCCAGUGGAGACAAAAACCUCUAUAGAAAUACUGUAUAUGUAAAUGGACUUAGAAGAAAAAGGGAGGGGUACCUGCUCUUAAAUUAGUCAUAUUUAAAAUGUAUUCUCAGAACACACUGAACUAUCAAACAGUCCCCAAAGUGAAGAAAUGUGAUUCUCAUUCAAGACUUAAGAGCAAAAGGCAAAACAACUGUGUCCCUUGCUCCAAAGUCAUUAUCUCACAUUAAGACUUCAUCCUGUUCUCCCAGUUCAGAAUUUAGUCUGGUUCUAAUGGCUCACUAGACAGUUUUGCAAGAUCUUCAUGCUCUCAUAGGUAUUUAGGCACUGAAAUCAGUGAGAAGUGGUACCUGUACACUUUCAGAAAUCUGUCUUUAAUUUCAACAUCCCAUAAAUUUUUUUAACAAAAACAUCCUUCAUCUUUUCUGCUUCACAAGUGAGUUGUGAAGCUUAAUUACACAAUGAUUAUGAAGUCCAGCAAAUACAACAUAUAUUAAGAGUAGUUAAUGAGAUUUCUGUCACAAGCAGACUCCCUCUUGUAAAAUAUUACUCACAUGUUGCAGGAAAAAAAACUCAAGAGAAAAAAAUACAGAUGCAUUAAAUAUAAAACAAAUCUAGCUUGAUUACUUCCACAAAUAAUAUGUUAUACAACUCUAAAACAUCUGUCAGGACAGCAUAGAGAAUAGCAUAGGCUUUUCUGACCAGAAUGGAAUCCUGUCAGCACGGAAUUCUGUCAGCACAUCCAUGUACUCAUUUUUACCUGCAGUGCCCAUCCAAGACAGGGCCUCCAGACCCACACACGAUCUGCUUCCCAUGAGAUCUAGUGGCUUAAAUACCUUCAAAGACCAGACAUGAAGUUCUGUUCCUUCAAAUCACAGAAUCAUGGAAUCAUAAAAUGGCUUGGGUUGGAAGGGACACCCAAGGAUCAUCAAGUUCCAAUCCCUCUGCUGCAGGCAGGGCCACCAACCUGUGGUGGUUGUAAAUAUUUCCCAAAAAGAUGCCAGCAUACUAACCAAUUACCACAUUUAACAGCACAGUGGAAGAUGGCUAGACAACUAUGAGCAGACAGACGAUCGUACAGAAGGCAUUGCUUGCAUACUUAGUGAUUUCUCAGGCCAUAACAAAGCAUACAGCCUAACUAGGGUAGGAGGACUCAAAAGAGGAAGACCAUUCCUUAAUAAUACAGAGCUCUUUGGCACAUUUCUUUUCUGUGAACAAACAGUGUAGCUGUUAAAAUACAUUUCCUGUUAGCAAUUAUGGCUCAGAGCUCACAGACGCUUUUACAGAACUUGGACAGGAGUGAUUUUCAGUACAUAGUGUCUCUAACAGCAAGUUAUAUUAAUAUUCACCAAAGGAAAACCUGUUUGUUGACCCAAAGUGUGACUGCUUACAAUUCUCUUCUUGUGAAAUUAUUUAGGUCCUGUGGGACAACUGUACUGAGCUUUUGACGCAAAUAUUAAAAUUCUAUUUAAAUGUACAAUGUUUUAAUGCAAAUUUUUACCAUAAAACCAAAUGCUCCAUUCAGUUAAAUUAAUAGAAUUACAAAAAGAUGUAAUGAUAGCAAUUAAGUCUUGAAAAUGCAAAUUUUAUAGUCAAGGACAAUUACCUCAUUUAUAGUAUCCUGGAAUGAUGCCAGAUGAAGGUAAUUUAGAUCUCCCUAGCUCACAGUUAUAUCAUGAAGGAUAUCUUAAUUUCAUUAGUACAACAAAGAUGGGUGAGAACUUGGACAAUAUGAAAAAAAAAAGGGAGGGAGAGAUGGGAGAGAAAAUUUGACCUUUCUCAUUUCACCGCAACUAGAAUACAUAGAUCUUACUAAAGGAUUAGUAAUAUUUCUUUCUAUUCCUAUCUCUGGGGAAAAAAAGGGGGGGGGGGGGGCACUUUUUUCUUUUCUUUUUUUUUAUUAGCAGCAAUGGAACAUUAGUAUGAAAAAGGUCAACUCCCUUCAGAUUCUUAGAGCCACUAUGCCCACAUCACAACAGUUAUGGACCAUUCCUUAUUUCAGUUUUAAGGAUGAAUACAGCAUUGGCUCUUGGCUGACAGAGUAUCAAGCUAUGGCCUAGGGACACAUGGUUUUGACUCCAAUAUGAUUUAAAAUGUUCUAGAAAAAUUCUUCUUGCUCUUACAAAUACAGCCCCACUUCAUCCAAAGAGGCAAGUCAAAAAUCAUCAGUUUCUCAUUAGCAAGCAAAGAGUGAUCAAGUAGACAAAGAAUACAGAUUGAUAUGCCAUAGAUUCAGUAGUCUCCUUUGAAGGAAAAACAAAACCAAACUCUCAUACAAGUUCUUUAGCACAUUAUCAAGUUCAAAUAGGAGUUUGCAAUACUGCAGAUAUCCCUCUUCCUUUCCUUUCUCUUUGCUGUAGUAGCUACCCUUGACCCUUGAAGAGAUUUCAAAAAAAAAGCAUAUUAAAUAAGGUGCACCAUAAAGUUUAAUUUUAAAACUUUACAACUCUCAAUUUUUCUUCCUGGCCUGUUGUAGCCACUGCAAAGAAACUCAACUUCCAGAAAAAUAGCUGCAUCCACCUAAAAUCUUCUUACAUCAAAUUCCCUUACCAAACCUAACAUGUAGGCUCUGGAGAGAGCGGAAACCUCCAAGGACAGAGUAGCAAACUUCACCUCUCUCCUUAUCUUGAACACAACUAACAAAGAUAACAUGAAAAAGCCUUCCCAAGAGUAGAAAUAUCUGCUUACCGUCAGCAUUUGGUGGUUUUGCUGUAGAUGGUGCAUGCUGAAGCCAUCCCAACCUCCUGCUGACAAACCUUUCCUUAACACCCUGAGAUAGGCAGGUUCUAGAGGAUCGGCUUUAUAACUUCGAACAGCACCACAUAGCGACAGGAAUGCAGCAUUACAAACCCCCAACACUCCUCAGAAAGGGUUUCUUCCAUCCAGUUAUUCUGUUUUAUGAAAAACAAGCCUUUUCUGAAGGAAAAAGUACCUUAAUUUUUCAUGUCAACGAUGCUAUCAGUCACCUCUGCCGCUUGAAAACAAUGGAUGACACUCUGGCUCAAGGAAAGCCACCUGCUUCCUUUGGGGUUAAGACAUCUUUUGGUGAAUUUCAUCUCCUAUCAAGCAAUAGCAAAAUUAGAGCUUGUACCACUAUUGCCUUCGUUCCGUGCUUUUGAUGCUUAUAAUCCCAUUACACCUGACAACUUAACCUGAGCUUGUUAUUCAUAGACAUGUAUGGUCUGAUGAAACAUUCCCAACUCCUGAAAAAUCUUUUUGUGUGUUGUUGGGAGAUUUGGCCUAAUAAGAAGUGCUUGAGUGGGUGUAGACUGGGUAUGUUUGUACCAUAUUAUACAAUAUGGCUUAAAUUUCCAUGGCAUUUUAUUGGAAAGUGUGAACCUGACAAGCUAAUAGUUUGUGAAUCUGUUGAGUCUCUGCUGUUGCAUGGAGAAACGUUUUGUCUAGGCUAUUCCCAGUAUGCUUCAAUUGUAAAAAAAACAGGCUGCGAUCAUAACACAUCUUCAUGUAAAUCAAAGUAAAUUUCUGCAGGACAAUAUUUACCACUGUUAUGUACCGCAGAUCUCCCAAUUCCUCAUUUGACCUAACAGUCGGAAUGAUCUCAGGCCAGCAAUAAGCUGAAUACUGGUUGCUAAGUAAUAUUUAAUUUAAGCAUGAUGUUGUGGUCAACAAAAUGAAUUAGCAUUUUCUGCAUUAAUGAAGAUCCAGGCCUAAAAUCAAAUGAUGAUGUCAAAAAAUUAUGGAAAGUAUUAUUGAUCUAAUUCUUCCUUUUAUUACACUGACAGAGAAACAUGCUUCUUGGAAAUGUUACAUGUGAAGGAAGAAUUUUUCCUAUUGCAUCUUCUUUCAAGAGAUUCAGUUUUCUACUCAGAACUCCAAGAGAGUAAUUUACAUUUGUGAUCACCCAGCCAAUUCAAGGCAACUGUGGAAAGAAACACUAGUAAGAAUUCAUUUUGUUGAUCUUAUCAUAAAUGUGAGAGAGAUUUAGCUUUAUCCUAAAUUCCACUAAAUCCUAGAAUGCAAUAAAGAAAUAAUCAUACAUGAAUUUGAGUCAGUACUGUUCCUCGUCAUUAUGCCACCUGACAAGCUAGAAAGCAACUUCGCUAGUGCAUAUUCAUUCCAAAUUAAUACAGUAAUUCUGAAAACUGUUUCUUUUUUCCCCUACUUUUAUGCAUUUAUUGCUUUAUUUCUCUAUUGCUAUUUCCAGUCCAUAAUGCAAUGCAGCUUGUGGAAUGUAAUCCCCUUUCUUCUCCUGACCAAACUCCACUCUGAAUGCUGCAUGGAUGGGAUCCUUUCUUUUCUGUUUUUUUAAUGUUUUUCUUCUCACUUUACAUAUUCUCAAAAAUGAGAUGAAUUUCUGAUUAUUUUCCAUUUUCCCCACUUUAUGAAUAUUAGAGUGGUUUUCUUUUGCAAUGUGGCUUGGCCUGCAUUUCAAAGUCCACAUUUUGAGUGGUUCCCUGUGAUUUUUGGACACUUGGCAUUUUCUGGGUCCAACUCAGAGAACUGUUUGAUUUUCAAAUAUUCAGAGCAUUCUCAAAGCCUGUUAAGUACAGACAAUACUUUCAGUGUUCUUUAGGUCCUUUAGGCUUAUUUUUUCAUUAACCCAAAACUGAGGUAAAAAAAAUCCUGUGUUCUAUGAAUUCCACAGUGUUGUGCAGAGAAGGGCAGUGGGAAAACUGAGUUAAAUGCAGGAUUCAAGUUUUUCUGACUCUUGCACAACUUGUUGUCUAAUGGACCCCAUAGGCUCUCAGCAACACCAGCUGUCUCUAAAAUUCAACCAACAGUGGAAAUGACUACUGCUGUUCUGUCCAUGGAAAGCAUGAAAAGGUUAUUAAAAAAAAAAAAAAAAAGAAUGGCUUGCUUAGAUAUCACACAAAUGUAUUUGCUUUUUUUUUACUUAGUGAAAAGGCUGUAUUAUAAAAGUAAACUUUUCAAAACAGAAAAAGUAGGUAUCAAAUACAGGAAAGAAACAAAAAGACUAUAAAGUAAUCUUUACAAAAGCAGAUUGCACUGACACUGUCUUGCUCACAGUAACACACAAAGUAAUUUCAUAAAACCCAGCUUUUAUCUUGUUCUAAUAAAACAUCAAGCUAGCAACAUUAUGGUGAGGGCUUUCAUUUUCUUUUCGAUAUAGAUUCUGAUUGGAAGUAUUAGCUGAUGCAGCAGGAUAAAUAAAGAAAUGCCUAGAUUGUUAUGGUUCCCAAAGGUCAUUUUUAUGAAAAGAUCAGGAAAUAUGUUUCAUUGAAAUUAAAAGUAAAGCCAUAUCAAGUUUAAUAACAUUGUUACCAUAAUGACAUAAAAUUCAGUGAGAUGGUGUAAUGUUUAAUAUUUGACUGUCAAGCCUCUGCAGUGAAGCUGUGUGAAAGCAUUUAAACUUCUAAAACUGAAUUUCCUUUCAGUUUUAUUGCUGUUUUAUACCCAUCUCCUUUUUUUCCUUGCCGUAAUAUUCUGUGUUUCUUUGUUGAAUUUGAUGUUAUCAGUAAAAUACAAUAAAAACUCAUGGAGGGCCACAUCUCUGUUCCAUAGAAGACUUAGCAAGGCAUCCCCAGAUGACCAAAGGCUGUCUGUGCCAAAUCAUUUUUUCCAUCAAGUAAGAACCCCAGCAGUGUUGUAGGGCAUGGCAAGAGGGAUGCUGUCAGGGCACAGCUACCCUCUGGGUUUUCUCAGUUGUGGCACUGUCAGAGGUGGAUUAAUAUGAGAAGCUGUAUCAGCCCUCAGCGAUUCUGGGAAAGGUCUGGCAUAAUGCCACUGUUCCCGGGUCUGCAUUCACAUAAACAAUUGUAAAGACGACUGAAGCCAGCAACUGCGAAGCCCGAGUGGUCUCUGGCUUUGUACAGCCUUUUGUUGGACACUGUGCUGAGUGCUAGGAUCAGAGAAUUGAAAAGUUUACAGCUUGGCACAGCUCUGCAAAAUUCUGAUUUUCAGAUAAAUAAACAAAACCCUGUCUCCAUCCCUGGGACCAAAAUUAUUCAAUACACUAAACAACAAGUAACAUUCUGGAAACAAAUUCUUUCUUUAAAAUGCAAGCUUGGUUUAGCACAUUUUCCCAGGAUGAAUUUCACCAGUUUAGCUUAAGAGUUGUUCAGUCUCAUCAGUGUAAAAAACAAGUAGCUGUGAACAUUCCUGAAACACUUACUUGGAGAUUCUCAUAAAGGAAAGAUCUGAGUGCCCGAGCCACCAGAGUCCAUACAACCACAGAACUGCUUGAGUUGGAAGGGACCCUUAAAGUCCAUCUUGUCCAACCCCCCUGCAAUGAACAGGGACACCUACAGCCAGAUCAGGUUGCUCCCCUUUAGAUACUGAAAGGCUACUAUCAGGUCUUCCUGGAUAUUUCUCUUCUGCAGGCUGAACAGCCCUGGCUGUAAUACAGCUAAAUAUUCUGAUGGUUUUACUUCAUAGUUUUCCAUCAGCUUUGGUUGCUGACAGACGAUGCAAAGAUUGAGGAUUUAAGCUUGCUGUAUUUGUUCUCUUUGUCUUUUUGCCAGACUGGCUGUGAUGAGCAGGUACUGGAUAUGCAGUUUGGUCUGUUGCAGCUGUUCUAGUACAUAAUCUGAUUCAAAAACAGGGAAUAUUUGGAGGCUCUUAUUGGUAAAUACUGCUACUAUGGAUUUUAUAAGUACUGCAGAUGUGCCCUUGCCACCUUUGAUCUAGUAACAUGGUGCUUCUUACUAUGUGGACAAAUAGCUCUGAAUGUACAACUCAAAGAUUUGCCACUCUCCAUAAACAAGCUUCACUUUCUGCCAUUUGUGCCUGAGGUUAUUAUUUGAGCUGUGUGGAUCAUUCCUUACGAAAAUUAGAACUGUGAGCUAUUUAGCUGGACUUAUCUUUUCUAUAAAGGUGAAACUAAAUAGGUCUGACACAAAAUAGCUGUGGAAGGAGAGAUUCUGAUUCUCCUUGGAGCUUGUUUUAUACAAAGACCAUCUUAAAUUGCAUGUUUGCUAAUUCCUUUCUCUUAAAGACCUCAAGGAAGGCAGAAAGUAUGAUACAUCUACAUGAGUUGUACCCAGCUCUAGGCUGAUAGAGACUUUAGGCAGUAUUAAAACUGCCAUCGAUUCCAAAUCCCUAUCUUUGGGUCACAAUAAGACCAAUGAAGGUCUGCACAUGGGCCUUAACACACCUAUGUUGCUGCUAUCUUGUCUCCUGAAGCAUGACAUCCUUCUUAUAGAUUCACUGAAUCACCAUGUAAACUUGUCUAAUAAAAGUGGAAAUAAGAGUUUAUUUCUGCACUUCAGUUUUUCUUUGCAUUUUCUGGAAGCAGUGCAAUAUAAUUCAGAUGCAGUGUGAGAAAGGCACUGUGAAAUCAUGAAUAAAGGACUCCAGUAUUCCUUUAUGAAAAAUCUUUUAACAUAAUAAAUUAAUAAUUAUUACUUCUACGGGGUUUUAUUUUGUUGGUGGUGGUGUUGUUUGGUUCUUUUGAAGAAUCCUGUAAACCCUAACAGGAAAUUACAUGUCCGGUGCAAAAGUGUAUGAGAAGAGUCAAGAAAUCUAUGUCAUGGCUGUCAUUCUUCUUUCAAGACUAUUAACCUGAAAUCCUGGCUUCACUGCAUCUUAGCACUAAUUUCAGCAAAAAGUCAGACGUUCACUCCAUCAUGCUUUAGAAGCAACUGUCACUGUGUUAAAUUCUGCUCCUUCUUUCCCAUUCUCUUUUCCUGCUUGUCAGGUAAGUGUCCAUAAAUGUCAUGAGGCCAAAAUAAACUGGCGUGUGGAAAGGGAGAUGACUAGGAACAAGAAGGCAGAAUUCUUUGGUAAGACCAGGUAGAAGUAGAUAGGACAAAGGGUUUGAUGAAAAGGUUGAUGAAGGUUUGGAGAUUGAUGAGGAUUCUACAUCUCAAGCCAAAAUGCAGGGGUUAAAGUAUUGCAGAAUUAUUUGGUCUUCAGUGAGAAAAAUGGUUCUGCUAAGUAGUUAUACAAAUGUACUAUUUAGUCAUUCACCACAAGAAAGUGUCAGGUUUUACUGUUACAGAGCAAAGAGGGACUACAGAGGAACAUACUGCUUUCCUUAGCCUUGCUCUCCUUCUGGAUGCAAUGUUUUGUGUUACAACAUCUUGAAAACUUUUCAGUCAGAGAAAGGAGCAGCCCUGCAGCAAUGAAAGAGCAGGUGAUGGACUAAUAAUAGGAUCUCUUGUUUAUUUCCUCUUCCUUUAUUGAUGAUCAGCCUGUGGUGUGUUGAGCUGGAAGGCAGAAAAAAAAAAAGGCCAGGUCUCACAUUAGCAAGGAGUCCUCCAGCUGUUAAAGGUAAAAGUCAUCCUGGGUGAGGUCAGUCUCUCACAGUGACUCAAACGGACAGUCUUGCUUGUGUCAGCAGAAGCUCAGCUACCAUCACAGCUGCACAAACGUGGGCACUGCUUCUUCAACUAACUGCCUGGAGAUUAGACAGGUUGCUGCACGUAGGGAAGGCAGAAAGAACUCUGGUAGGAUGAACACAGGUUGGAGUGUCGGAGUGAACACUGUGAGCCCUUCCUGUUCAAGGUUACAAGAGAAGGAGGGGCCACAUUCUGAACGUGGCAGGGCUAGGCAUGUAUGGAAAAGCCUGGGAAGCAGCAAGUCUUUUUUCCUAGUUCAAAGGCCUAACCAAGCUGUUCUAGGCACCAUGAGCAUGAGCUGGGAGAGCCCAACAAGUCACUGCCAGUGCUCUGCUGCCUGGCACCAAGGCUGCUUUUUGCUUUCAGAUGCUCUGUUGUUUCUCGUUUUUAUAACACCAGUCCUUGCCAGGUGCUCCUGGGGUCUAUUUUAAGGCAAAUAAAAAUGUUUUGUCUUUCAAAAUAUCUGUGAGAUCUCUGGGGAAAACGUACUGAAAUUUUGGUUUCCAGAAACUCUCACAGAAAGUCUGAAAAUUCAAAACACUGAGAGAAAUUUGGGUUUUGAAUCCUUGAAAGCAUGCAAUCUUACAGUGGUCCUAGCAAUUAAAGCACUGGCAGCUGAUUUCCCAUAGAAUCAGAAGCGCCAGAUAUCAUGCCAGAGGUUCAUUUACUGAGCUGAUCCACUGUGGGCAGAAGCUCAAUGUUCCUGCAAUGGUCCUUAGGGCAAAACAAUUCCCUCAAAAAAGAGAAGAUGAUUCAGAAUUAUUUCACCGAAAACACACCUGGUAUUUUCUGGGUCUACUCUAGCAAGGAAACAAAUCUACAAUAAAACAAGCAUAAAACAAUGGAUAAGACACUGCUGAAUGUUUGGUCCCGUGGACAAGACAGGAGAUAAUGCAGAUCGUUGAUACUGAAUAAACAUCAAACUGUAAGCUGCACUCACUUGCCAUGUUCUGUUUUCUUGAUUAAAUCGAGUUGUUUUUGUUGAGAGGAAGAUAUAGCAAGCUGACAGCCAUACCGCCCUACCUUGCACACAACUCUACAGUAUAGAACUUAGUGUGUUUACAGUCAAUGUUCGCUAAAUCUGAGUUGCCAGGUGAAAUCAUUGCAUUUGCCUGUUUCCUUGUCUAAUGAAAAAAAUGCUUGUGAUAGCACUUGAGGUCACAACAGCACUUGGCUAAUGCAGUGAUGAUUUAAAAAACAAACAAACCAAAAAAAAAAACAACCAUAAUUUUUUUCUGGAUUUGUUACAUGUGGGAUUUAAAGGCAGUUGCUGUACAGUGCCUGGAAACCUGAUUCACCUGAGUCACAAUUCAUCCAAUACAUCACGAUAACAACAUGUCUGAGGGAUGGGAGGCCAUCCAGAGAGAUCUAGACAGGCUUGAGCAGUGGGUCCAGGUGAACCUCAUAAGGUUCGACAAAUCCAAAUGCAUGGUCCGGCACCUGGAUCAUGGCAAUCCCCACUAUAAAUACAAGCUGAGGUACUAGAAGAUAGAGCACGGCCCUGUUGAGAAAGACUUGGGGGUACUGGUGGAUGGCAAGCUGGACAUGAGCCAGCAAUGUGCCUUCUCAGCCGAGAAAGCCAGCUGUAUCCUGGGCUGCAUCAAAAGAAGCAUAGCCAGCAGGUCAAGGGACAUGAUCCUUUCCACCUCUAAGACCUCACCUGGAGCACUCCAUAAAGAUGUGGAAUUCUCAGUACAGGAGAGUCAUGGACCUGUUGGAGCGCAUCCAGAGGAGGGCCACAAAAAUGAUCCAAGGGGUGGAACACCUCCCCUGUGAGCACAGGCUGAGAGAGCUGAGGCUGUUCAGCCUGGAGAAGAGAAGGCUCUGGGGAGACUUCAUAGUGGCCUUUCAGUAUCUAAAGUGGGAGUGUAAGAAGGAAAGGGACAGACUCCUUAGCAGAAUCUGUUGUGACAGGACAAGGGGAAAUGGUUCCAAACCAAUAGAGGGGAGAUUUAGACUGGAUAUAGGGAAGAAGCUAUUUACUGUAAGGAUGGCAUGGAUGUCCUGUCCCUGGAAACACUCAAGGUCAGGCUGAAGCAAUCUGAUGUAGCUGCAGAUAUCCCUGUUUAUUGCAGGGGAGUUGAACUACGUGAGCAUUAAGGGUCUCUUCCAACUCAGAUUAUUCCUUGAUAAUUUAUCAAGGAAGUCUGAGGGCUUGGACAGGGUGUUGAUGAGACACUGAAGUAUGUGGACACCAUUACUUACUAUAUUAUGUCCUCAAGGAGUGGUGUGGAGGGAAUGGCUGCCCUUACCCCAUGGUACAGGUGCUUUUUAUCUGCAUCUCCCAGGAUCCAAAGAGAAGCCCCACUCCUUGAUCACUGAAGAUCAAAUUGAGCUAUUUACCUUCUCAAGUGUUAACAUGCAUUGGUGGCAUAUGCUUCCAAGGCUUUCUUUUGCUUGGUUUUGUUGUAUACAUGUGGAUAAUGCCAGAUAAGAUUUUGGCGCUAAGAAGGUUUCACUGAGUGCUUCUCUUUUCACCUCAUUUUGGUCUCUCCUUCUUUAAUGACCAGUGAAUUACAGUCAAUUAAAGGUGACUGAUAGGAACUGCAGGGAAUACACUCAUAAAGAAUUAUGAAAAAUAGCCAUGUACCUUGUGACCAGCGUAUACAAAUUACAUCAUAAGCAGGAAGUAGUUAUGGUUGAUUGGAGCAAUUAAAUGUUUUCUUUAAGAAAGGAAAAAAACCCUCCAGUGAGAAUAUUUUAGAAAAUGGCUUUUUAAUCAUCUGUAGAACUGCUAGAAUGUCUGUCUUCUAAUAGUUUUAAAGUGUUCCUUAUUUAGAAUUAACUGUAAUUCUACAGAAUAGCCAAAUACUUCCCCAGGAACCUGCUUACAUGAAAGUUUAUUUUUAAUCACAAGAUCACAUCCAAAAAAAUUUACAUAGGCCAAAGGAGACCAGAGAAGAUCUGAGCACCUGUCCCCGGUGUGUAAACAGCUACAAAUUUGGGAGCCAUUGCACAGGAGAGAACACUUUCUACAAUGAUUCAGGAAGACAUGCACACAGCAAGAUUCACCACUCAAAUAAGAAGCAUUAACGCUGACAGAAAAAUCAGGUGUUUCCAGCAGCAUCAGAUGCAUACUAACCAGCAUCCUGCCACAUUAAUCAACCAGCUAAUGCCUUCAGACUUGGCUGGUUCAUCAUCUAUCCUCAUCCCUGUAGACACCACUAGUUCCGCAUGGGCAAGGACACAUUUUGGGAGGGGAAGGACCAUGGCAGCAUGCUGUGGAAGAGCAGUCUCUGCCUAGCAGUGUGGUGAGCUGCAUAUGAGCCACAUGGGCAGAUGACAAGGGACAGCUUGGUGGUGCCCGUGCAAGCCAAUGGGGGAGCUUCUGCGCGUAACAUGCCUCAGCAGUCCACUUUUGCCUGCCCGUGGAUGGGAAUGCUGCUGGUCUGCACAGCCUGGGCAUAGGCAGCGGGGGCAGUGCUGGCAGUGCGUACCAGCACCCAGCACACCAGAUGAGAGCAUGCGAAUUGGAAACUGGCUAUUAUAGACAAUAGCCCUAAAAAUCAUCCUCUUGGUACAGAGAGAACACAUGCCUGAUACUCUACCAAUUGCCUAGCUUAACACUGAGGAUACAGCUCAGGAUGUCAUAUAUGUUCACACCUUCUUUCAAGGAGACUCAUGAUGCUGGAAAAGGGUGAAAAGGCUGUAAACAGUGUUCUUUGGUCAAAGAAACCCAGAACAUGUUUCAUAUAAUAAGGUUAUUUUUACUAUUUUUUAAUCUCAGCAGAAAAUUCAUUAUAUUCCUCCUUUUUCUCUCAGCUUCGACUGUGUAUCCCCUUUGUGCUUGCAAAACAAAGGUUAUUUUUUACUCACCUGUAUAAAAUGCUUGAAGAACUCCAGAUGAUUAAAGAUAUAAAAGUCAAAGGAAAUAUGUAUAUAUGCAUGUUUAUAUAUAAUUGUUGUUACUGUUGCAGUCUGCGAGAAAAACAAAAAUUAUUCCUAGCAGAGCGUCAGGUUUUUAUUUAUUUAUUUUUUUAUGACUUUGGAAGCUUUUUAAUAGCUAGUGAUCAGAUGAAACAACUGCUCUUGAAAUCAAUGAGAACUGGAUUACGUGCUGGAGAAGAGAAAGCUUCAGGAGAAAAUGUUUACAUUACUGUUAUCUUAGAUAAUCACCAUUUCUGCCUAUGUCUUCCAGAAAAACUCAUUUUGUUUCUCUGAAAAAUAUGUAAUGAUUUCAAGAUCAUUUCAGAGGCCAAACACGCUAGAAAUUCAAAUCCAUGAUCUAAAUGCUUACAAAAAGUGUCUCAGAUCAGUAAAAACAAGCUGAAGAGAAUGAGAAGAUACUCUUUGAUUAUCUAACCUCCUUGACUGCAGUACGUUUAUUCUGUUUUCUUCUUACCGUUUUCUUCUUCUUGAGGAUUUGAAAUUACUUCUCUUUGAAUGUAGAGGAUAUAAAUUAAUCAAUAAAGUCAAUAGUAGCCCUUAUAAACAUAGCUUAAAUAUAUAUCUGUGUGUCCUACGCUACAAAAGAUAGCAGCAACUGAAGCAAUUUCCCCCAUGGCCUAAAUCCUAACUACCAUCUAGUUCCAGGAAAGCUAGUACAGCAUUUGCUGUUUCACACAGAUGCCAUAAAACAGACAGACCAUUAAAAUGAACACUGACACAUUUAUAGUCAUACAGCUUGGCUCUUCGCUGUGACGUUGCCCUUGAAGUGUUGAUGUCAUACCAAAAUUGCACCUCCUCCUACAGUGUAAAUUAUUCUGUAAUUCCAUGGUUCUGUGAUAGCACUACUGUGCCCACCAGUGCUACAAUGGACUCGUUAACAGCUGAGCCUUUCCUUACCACUACAGCCUCAUGAACUGCCUCUCUGCUGCUCUUCACUGCAGGAGGCCAGCUUACAUUGCUAUUGGUAUUAACUGUUAACCAGCCUAUCUG
ensembl:lncRNA